AGCACGGGUAACGCGCUGAACUCCGACGGGCGGUGUGUACAAAGGGCAGGGACUUAAUCAACGCGAGCUUAUGACCCGCGCUUACAGGGAAUUCCUCGUUGAUGGGAAAUUGUUU